UGGGGAAUUGUUCACAAUGGGCGCAAGCCUGAUGACGCAACGCCGCGUGGGGGAUGAAGGUCUUCGGAUUGUAAACCCCUGUCGAACGGGACGAAAGACCCGGGAGCUAAUCAUCCUGGGAGUGACGGUACCGUUAAAGGAAGCCACGGCUAACUCUGUGCCAGCAGCCGCGGUAAUACAGAGGUGGCAAGCGUUGUUCGGAAUUACUGGGCGUAAAGGGCGCGUAGGCGGCCAUCUAAGUCAGACGUGAAAUCCCCCGGCUUAACCUGGGAACUGCGUCUGAUACUGGACGGCUUGAGUUUGGGAGAGGGAUGCAGAAUUCCAGGUGUAGCGGUGAAAUGCGUAGAUAUCUGGAGGAAUACCGGUGGCGAAGGCGGCAUCCUGGACCAACACUGACGCUGAGGCGCGAAAGCUAGGGGAGCAAACGG
rnacentral:rRNA from 1 species